rnacentral:piRNA from 1 species
UCCAACAAUGGGAAUGUGGUUGCCUCUUCCU